UAUAUACUCCCUCCGUUCCUAAAUAUAAGUCUUUUUAGAGAUUCUAAUAUGGACUACAUACGGAGCAAAAUGAAUGAAUCUACACUCUAAAAUACGUCUAUUCGUCCGUAUGUGGUCCAUAUUCAAAUCCCUAAAAAGACUUAUAUUUAGGAACGGAGGGAGUAAAUA
rnacentral:pre_miRNA from 1 species